CCUUAAUUAAGUAAUGGGACUGACUCUAUAAUUUUGUUACAGACAGUAGUUUAUGAAUCUUCAAAUCUCAUAAAUGCAUUACUAUGAUUGCAACCAUUGUACAUUUACAGUAGAACAAAAACCUAAGGAUAUAUGAGAUGACCAUACUUUAUCAAUUUUGUAUAAAAUCAAUUCAUAUUGUUAUAGCAAGCAACAGAAACUAACCUCGUAUCAUAAACUAAAGAAAGAAAAAAGGAAGAUUCUGGUUUCUCUAUUAAAACUCAUCAAACAAACCAUGCUUAUAAUUUGGUAAACCAGACAUGUGUUUGGGCUUCAUAAGAUGCUCAAAUUAAACACAUUUUUUUUAGAUAAAAACAAUAAAAGUGACCAGCACAACUGUAUGUAGGGUAAUAAAAUAAACAUUUAGUAAUACGUAAAAUGUUUCAACUUGCGUCUUUAAUAUAAAUGCUUGUUGGAUUGCUAUCUCAGUUAAAUAUAUCCCAAAUCUUUCAUACAAAUUUUUGGAUUUAAAAAUAUGAAAUAAAAUCAACAAAAAUUAAAACAAUAUAUAAACUUAAACUGAAAAUUAAUACAUUUUUUUUUUAUCAUAUGUUAUUUUUAAGUUACUUUAGAUUUUAAAAUACAAUAGGCUUUAAUGGCUUCACUAAAUUUCUUUCAAGCAUUCCUCUAUUUUUUUCGGAUUUUACCUUAAUACAUUAACAACUCUUUAUAUUAGGAGUAAAUGGACGUAAUAUGAAUGCCAAUGAGACAACACUCCAUCCAAGUCACAAUGUGUAAAAAGUAAACCAUAUAAGGUCAAAGUACAGUCUUCAACACAGAGCUUAAUGCAUACACAGUGAAAUUGAUAAUAUACUGACCAGAGUAAUUGUGAUAAUGCCCAGUACAGGUUACAGAUAUAAUAUGUCUCUUUUGUUAUUACUUUAAUUUCAUAUACACUUAUUAGUGACAGCAAGCUAUUAAAGGAUGUAUUGUCAUAUUUGUGCAAACAGAAAACCUUAAAAUCUCAUAUUGUGAGUUUUAGCAUUUUUGGUGCAUGAAUUGAAUCAUUAUGUGGUAAUAGAAUCUUUCAAUAUCUAUAUGAGGUCUCACAAAAAGAGUACAUAUUUGCUAAUCAUUGUAAAAGAAUACAUAACUUUUUCAAUGAUUUUAAUGACAAUGUUUAGUUAGCAUCAACUUUUUUUUGGAUAUCUUGAAAUUAGGGUGAAGUCUCAUACUAGUAUAACCACAAGAAUUUUUUAUGUGACAUUUGUUAUCAUACACGUAAC
rnacentral:lncRNA from 1 species